AACACACUUCACAAAUUGAGCUUUGCCCGUAUUUCUUUCAGGGAAGCAGCUGUCCUGUUUCCUCUAAUAAGAGCACACCCUGGAGUGGAGUCAUCGAAGGACUGUUUGACUUACCGACUGGACGGACUCACUGCUUCUGUCCAUUGGAGUUGGGAAGGAAUUCCAUCCAGAGAGAUUCUAAAGAGAGUCAGCACGAGGACAGAUGAGGAGAGAAACGGCUGUGAAUGGAGCUUGACUUUCCCUGGAGUCCUGACUUUUUUCAGAAUAAAUGCUCCUGUAGAGCCUGAUAUUCUGCAAGUUACAAGUGGCUGCUUGCCCUUCUCAUUUGCACCCCAGCUGACUCCUAGAUAAAGCUUUGGAUUCACCUUGAAAACAUCCCCUCUGAACAUCAGAAGUCCACUUGGUCCCCGAACAGUGUAUUAACUUCUAACAUUUCUGACUUCCAGUCAUGGAGAUUUCAAAACCAAUUGCAUAUAGCAAUGAAGCUUUUCACUUUUAAUGGAACAUUUAGGAGAAGGGCGGCUUUUCCUAUUUUCUGUGUUAUCUUCAGCCUGUUAACUGUUGUCAGCCCUGGAGAGAAACCAUCCCUUCUCCUUAAAAACAUGAACCACAUACUAAGUUGCUUCUUGCCUCUUAAAGAUUCAGGUCACUCAGGUACAUCAGACUGAGACAGGACGCUCAGGUACAUCAUACUGAGACAGGACACUCAGGUACAUGAUACUGAGACAAACACUCAGGUACAUCAUACUGAGACAGGACGCUCAGGUACAUCACACCGAGACAGGACAUGUUGAUUGUUGGUGUGUAUUUCUCCCAAGCCACCACUCAAACCAGUGUUUGAUUUCCAUGGAGGUUGGCUGAUGGCUUUUAGCUUGAGCCCCAACAGUGUGACUUCAUACAAGGCAAUUUCUUCAGAAAUAUCAUGGAACUUCAGGGACAUUAUAUUAUUAAAUUAAAAAAACCUAAUAUGUUAAUUUUUUCAUUAAAGUUUAUGAGUUUACUGAGUUUUUCUUUUCCAAAAUAGUUAAUGAGCUUUUGAGUCAUGUUUUUUAUGAAAGGAUUGACUUUCUCAUGGCGUCCAACUCUGUAGAUAAUCAUCCGAAACAGAUUUGACUGUAUUUGUUUAACAAAAGUCUGCCUAAACCAAACUCUGCCCUGAAUUUUUUGUUUUCCACACGUAUGUGCUAAAUCUGUGUAAUUUGGUAGUUUGUCUCUCCAGAACCACUGUUGGUCUUGUGUCACUAAUCAGCAGAGGCAGCAGUCUGACGGGUCCACAGAGACAAGGGAGGCAGCGGGAGGAAUGCAGUGGCCAGGCAGGUGAGGGACCUCAGGACCAGCAGCUCAGCCGCAUCCUUGCAUGCAGUGGCCAGGCAGGUGAGGGACCUCAGGACCAGCAGCUCAGCCGCAUCCUUGCAUGCAGUGGCCAGGCAGGUGAGGGACCUCAGGACCAGCAGCUCAGCCGCAUCCUUGCAUGCAGUGGCCAGGCAGGUGAGGGACCUCAGGACCAGCAGCUCAGCCGCAUCCUUGCAUGCAGUGGCCAGGCAGGUGAGGGACCUCAGGACCAGCAGCUCAGCCGCAUCCUUGCAUGCAGUGGCCAGGCAGGUGAGGGACCUCAGGACCAGCAGCUCAGCCGCAUCCUUGCAUGCAGUGGCCAGGCAGGUGAGGGACCUCAGGACCAGCAGCUCAGCCGCAUCCUUGCAUGCAGUGGCCAGGCAGUUGAGGCACCUCAGGACCAGCAGCUCAGCUGCAUCCUUCUCUUUUCCCAAGGUCGCACUGAGCAAGUCAGGAUGGUGAAGAAAGUCUCCAUCUCCAAACUGAACACAGGAUUUGUUGAGGUGGCCUCCUGGAGCCUAAGUGUGUUUGGGGUGAUAUCUACAAACUUCCAUCACUGCUUCACUGGUGGCCUUUGGAGAAUCACCAUUUUUUUUCGGUCUUGUUCUGUGGGAUAUAUUCUGAAAAAAUAGGACAAAUGCUAAAAUAGCGAUGUCAAAUUUAAGUUUUUCAUAGAAAUAGCAUAGUAGGGAACUAUACUCAUUUUUAUAAGGAAUACAUUUAAUCGUUACUCUUUCCCUUCCUUUUUUCUUUCCUUAAGAAAUAUUGAACGUUGAUUAUGUACAAAGAAUAGAAUAUGAUGGGAAACAAUACAAGUACCUUAUUACAUAUCGCAUAGUAUAAAUCUUUAAAUUGUGACUAUAAAUUAAACAGAGCCCCUUGAUGUCAUGGCUCAUGCCUGUAAUCCCAGCACUUUGGGAGGCCAAGGCAGGUGGAUCACUUGAGCCCAGGAAUUCAGGACUAGCCUGGGCAACAUGGCAAAACCCUGUCUCUACAAAAUGUACAAAAAUUAGCCAGGCAUGAUGGCUCACGGCUUCAGUCCCAGCUACGUGGGAGGCUGAGGAAGGAGGAUCACUUGAGCCCUGGAGAUUGAGGCUGCAGUGAGCCAUGACUGUGCCACUGCACUCCAGCCUGGGCAACAGAGUGAGACCUGUCUCAAUCAAUCAAUCAAUCAAUCAAUCAAUAAAACAGAGCAACUCAGCAAUAAUUAUAUAUUUAAUUAUUCUAAGUAUUAUAUUAUGUUUAAUAAUAUAAUUAUAUUUAAAUAUUAUAUAUUAUGUAACACAUCAAAGUGUAUCAUAUGAAGUUUUUUGUCUCCAUCAGUCUCUCUUAUUUUGAUAGUAAUGAUAAAACACUGGCCCAACUUAAUCCUCAGAAUGUGUUUAUUGAAUUAAAUGGUAGCCAUGGAAUUCAGAAGAACUUAUUUGAAGAGCUUUAAAAGAGAAAUAACACUUAUGAUUUUCCCUAUUACAAAAGUAUUUGUUCAUAGUAGAAAAUUGGAAAAUUCUGGGAAACAUAAGGAAUAAAAGAACAAUCAUGCCUAAUUCUAUCAUUCAGAGAUAGCAAUUACUACUAAUAUUUUGGCAUAUUUUCUCUAGCCUGUGUGUGUGUGUGUGUGUGUGUGUGUGUGUGUGUAUCUGUGUGUAUGUGUGUGUGUACACAAAGAAAAAGCCAGAGGAAAUGCCAUUUUUUUAUACAAAUAUAAAACAAAAAUGAGAUCUCACAAUAUACAUUGCUUUUAGACAUAUUCUUAAAAUUUAUAUCAUGAG
rnacentral:lncRNA from 10 species